rnacentral:rRNA from 1 species
UACGUAGGGGGCUAGCGUUGUCCGGAAUCAUUGAGCGUAAAGCGCGUGUAGGCGGUCCGGUAAGUCCGCUGUGAAAGUCGAGGGCUCAACCCUCGAAUGCCGGUGGAUACUGUCGGGCUUGAGUACGGGAGAGGCGAGUGGAAUUCCUGGUGUAGCGGUGAAAUGCGCAGAUAUCAGGAGGAACACCGAUUGCGAAGGCAGCUCGCUGGAACGUUACUGACGCUGAGACGCGAAAGCGUGGGGAGCGAACAGG